CGUCACAAAAAGGAGAUACAUAGCUCAGUCACAGUGAUUUAUUGAUGGAAAAACAGAAGGAGACAGUCUUCAAAAUGGCCAGUCAGCUGAAGAAGCCAGACUGGGAAUAUCUGUAUCUUCCCAUUUGAAAACCUCACCUGUUGCUUGCUCCUACAGAGUAUCUGGAAACACUGACCACGCACUUUGCCAGUUGAAGACUGCCCAGUCAACUCUGCUGGAAGCCUGGGAUCAUGGAGAAGGAGACAGACUGUAGCAGUGUGCUGCAAGUAUGGGAAGCAUGGAAUUAGUUUUGUGGAGGCUGCAAGGAGGGAGCAGUCUGGUUCCUAAAGGACAAAAUAACUGAAAUUUUCACAGCCUUGUGCUCACCAGCAUGAGCUUAUGUACCAGAGAUGACCUUGAUACACUGUCUUCACACACAGAGAGAGGGCAUCCCACAUCCACAGCAGGAGGUGCACCAGGGGGAAGAGCCACGUGAUGAGGAAGAGAUGCGUCUGUGCAGGAUGGCAAGCUGACGUUUCCAACAAUGCUGCCUUGUUGGGAUGUGGCAGUCUCCAACUGGGGAAGUGGAGUUGAACCGUGAAUAGCAACGCCACGUGCUCCCAGGGCAAUUUUUCCAGGUCAUUUAAUGCUAAUAAACAAAAACCCACAGCAGAGUUAAAGGCAGCCCAUAGCCUAGCCACAACAGUGAAGGCAGUAAGUUUAGGAACUGGUUUGCUUCCAGAGAUGUUAAAGGUUUGGAAAAAUUAACUGCAGUAUGUUGAUGUGAAGAUUUAUGAGAGGAUCAAGAAGAUAUGAAAAUGAAGGAGUCAACAAUAUCAGAGCAUGACAUGAGAUAGUGAAGUAUUUUAUUUCCAUUGCUUUCAAUAUUAUCUCUUGUGUGUUAGCAGGAAAUAAUCUGAGCAGAGAGACUGCAUAGCAGAGGUACGGAAAAUAGAUGUGAUCAUUUUCCACAGACGCAAUGAGCACCACUCUAGAUAUUUUAUAACUUGCUAGUGUUUUAUGUCAUUUCUUCAGACAUCUGCACAUUAGAGUGACUGAGAACUGCAAAUGAUGUAUAGUUAAGAUAUCCCCCUAUAAUUAAGCUGAAAUAAUGCUGGAUUAUUCUAGCAUAAUUAUAGGGGGCUAUUUUAACUAUUAGCUCAUUAAAAAGCUAUGAUGCAAAUCUCAUUCUGAAAGGGACGAAAAAAUGAGGGUAUAUGAACAAAAUGUCAGUAGUCCUCUGCUAAGACCAGAUGGAGAGGUAUAACUAUAUUCCAUUUAUCAGUCAAUAUAUUUAAUUAUAGCCAGGCUUGGAUGGAGCCUACAAUGGUGUUUAUUAUAUUUAGUGUUUGCAGAUGGAUGUGGUGAUUCAGAAACACUUGGGAAGGGAAUGUGGUACCUAUGCAAAAGGGUAGACUUCAGCUGAAUUUGGUUUGGGUUUCACAUGAAGUCCUGCCACGUUCUCCUCUCCAGAUGGGAGCUGUCCUUUUGCCCACCUUGCCCUUCAGGUGUGGCACACAGGAUUCCAGAAUUGCGUGUGCCAGGCUGUGCAGUGGUGGUUCAGCCCCACGAGGAGGCUGGCCCCAAGGAGCGUGCAGGGGAUGGCAGCUACCACAAGCCCCAACAGAGCACAAGGCGCUCGCCUGUGUCUAAUCUGCUUGGGGUCAGCGUUGGUCAAGUGCUAUGGAGCAGCAAUGUUUGGGUAACAAAAGGGAGGCAGUAUGCUUGGCUAGUCAGACUUUGGACAAAGGAUAUCCUGGAAAGAGAGCUGCCUGCCCUCGCGUGCUGUCUUCCAGAGGACAGAAAGUUAAUCUCCAUUUUGUUAAUUCCCUCUCUCCUCUGAAGGACCCCGAGGGGGACAAGGCAUCCCGAGGAGCUGGAGAGAGGAGCUAUUGCCCUGUUCCCUGGCAUUGUUUGAACGCCAGCUCGGCUGUGCUAACCAGUGAAAAGCUGUCCUGGGACAAAAUCUGAUCCUGCUGUGCUUGUAAUAACAAAGGUCUCUUUUGCCUGGCACUGCAUAUAGGGUGGGAUACAGUUGGGGCACAGUUUCAAACAUUGAAACUCCAUGUUUUGGAUUUUCUAAGACCUCCAGGAUCAUUCCCUCCAGAGAAGGGGAUCUAUCCCUUGCCUGUCAUUAGGGUAUCACUUUACAAGGGUCAGGUUUUUCAUCCCAGUUCAGCCACUAAUAUUGACUUGCCCACAGUGAUUUGCUUUGCAUAUAUGGUUGGGUGUGCCUGCUCUGCCCAAAGGGGCAACUCAUCUCAUCUCUGGCAUCCGACAGCAAGCGUCAGGGAGAAAUAAUAGACCAGGGGCUAAAUAAGAAAAAUGACUUCUCGCCCUCAAGCAUUAUGACAACAAAUGGUGAAGAACAUGCCCUCAGGGAACAGCGAAAUGAAUGAGAUGAAUGCCUAAUGCCCAAUAACUACAUGUCAAAUCAAAGACCAGACUCUUAAAGCACGAAGUUGGCAGAGUCUGGUGGAUGCAAGAAGUAGAGAGUCAGCAGGGAAAUUUAUUGUUGCACAGGAUGGCACAUUAUGUACAUCUUUCUGGAGAGCUAUUUGUGCUUGUUGUUGGCUUUUGAAGAGUAGGUGAAGAGUGUUAAGACUUUGUUUUAUAACAAAAAAAAAAAAAAAAGGAAGGAGAAAAAUCAACAAAAAGGCAGGAGUGGCAGCUCAAGUAAAACUGAAGUCCCACCAAAGUCUCUGUGUGGUCUAGAACUCAGCUGUAUGUUAUAAUUUAUUUUUUCCCCUCAGCUUGCCCCAUAGCUGGCUGCUUAGCUCAGGAACAAGAGUGCAAGUCAAAAAGAACGGGGAGACCCAGUAAGAAGCUGGGGACAUAGCACAGACUAUUUAUGUGCUUGACUGAAUAACUCAUGGCUAGAUGUGAUCGGGAAAGGGUGUUCUGGAUUUUCACCCAAAAAUAUAUAUUUCUUUAUUUGAUUUGACUAAAGGCUGGAUGAAAACUAAGAACUAGGCCACAAGCCCAAGUGACCCAGCAGAAAGCAUUCACGUGUGCGUGUUGGAUGUGAGCAACUGGAAUGGGAGCACACGAAGUGCCCCACUGGUUUAUGCUAAACCUGACAGUGCAAUGCUGCACGCCGAGACUGCAGAACGAGUGAUGUGGUUACAGGAGUGGGCAAGUGGCGUGCUUCCCUGCGCCAAGGUCUGCAAAGAGCUUCAGAGGAUGUUGCGGCCCCAGCCCCCGGGGGCACGGCUCUGUGCUGCCCGUGCCCUUGCCGCUGGGAAGAUAUUGCACGGGAAACUGGGAUUGGGGACCUGGAAGCACUGCCGCUGGUGAGAUCCGCACCCAGCGCCUCGGGAGCCACUGGGUGGCGUAUGAACGCUGGCAUACAUAAAGGAGCAGGAUCCAUGGAAAAAAAAAAAAAAAACAAACCGAAAAUCACAAGGCAGAAAUAUACAUAGAUAAUUAAGUGGGCUCUCUUUGGACCGGGACGAGAGCAAGGGAAACCAACCUGGCGUACAUUAGGAAAGUGGUUACACGUCGUGCUUCCUUUAACAAAUAAAAGUCCAGAUGAUGAAGUAUCAAAGAGUAAAGUUCAGAGGCUGUAAAAGCAAUCAGCUAAUGAAAAAUCACAGCACAGCUUUGUCUUUGCCGUGCAGGGUAUGAACAGGGGACCGCAGGGGUAACUGCAAUUGCAAAGCCCUUUGGCAAACAGCUGCCCAAGAUCAUUCCUGGUGCUUAAAUACCUGCUGUCAGUGGCCAGUUGUUUGUGCCUUGCUCAGCUGGGCACUGGUGAUGCCACAGCCACAGUUCUUUCAGCCGUGCAGGGCCCCCAGGCGCUGAUGUGGCAGGAGCACCGCGGGUGCCCCGGCACAGCCCUGCUCAGCCCCGCAGUUUCGAGUUUUCAUUUCCAACAGGAGCAGCCACUCCCAGGACAUUGCUCACGGGGCUGAGGACAGCUGGCUCACCAGCAGCUGGCUUUGCAAGCCGGCUAAAGCCGGGAGAGUGUUUUCAGCAGGAGUCAGGAGCUAGUAGUACUUCAAUUCAGCACCCUCCAGACUCCCCACAUUUUCCUCCCCCAUCUGGUUGUUCCUGUCUGAUCUAUAACCCUUGCUGCAUUUCAUGGACUCCUUUCCCCCUGUUUGUUUAAUGUGAUUUAAAUAAAAUAAUGUGAUUUUAAGAAAAUAUCCAUAGUGUUUGCUCAUUGCCUGGAAUUACCCCUGCAGAAAAGUAAGUUCUCUCAGCCUCGUAGAGCUGGACCUGUGGAUAUUGCAACAAGAGACAUGCUUGGAGGAGUUAUUUGUUUUUGUCCCAGCAGGGUAAGGCCACAGAGUGACAGAGAAUAGGAGACACUCCAAGGUGAGGUGAGUGUCUUGUGACACAUUUUAUCUGGUUUUACCAACUGUCCAUACGAAUGAACAAGAAGCCCACUUUGAGUGACUUCCUUUUAUAUCAUGCUGGGGCUGGAACAGGAAAGUGGGGGGAACAGCACUAAGAUAAAUUAUACUAUUUUCAACUGAUUCAGAUAAGCAUUUGUUCUGAACACAACAGCAUCACAAUGAAUUCUCUUCAGCAUCUCUGAGAACCCCAUAUUACAGACAUGAGGCACUGACAUGCUUUCUUGCUGUUCAGGCAUCACACGAAUGGCAAAAGGCAGGAAAGUGCAGUUGUCAGCCAAGCUGGGGCUAUGUUUUCCUGCCACGCUCAGUUGUCUGCCUUCCCUCCUUUGUGUGAGGUGGGAUCAUGAGGUAUAUCCCAGCUCCCAGCUCUCAGCUGCCACUGACUCAUCACUGCCAGCCACCACCAAGUCACUGGCAGGCAGUGGUUGUUCCCUGCCUGCAGAUGUCACAGGGGCAAGAAGGGGACUUAGGUUUGCAGAGGAAAGGAGAAGUAGUUAAGCAGAGCAGAGUGAUGAUAUCCUUGAAGCAUACUGACUCCCCUUUAUCAGCUAAGGGAAUAGUUUUUCAUCCAGCCUGGAGAAAAGAAGGAAAUUGGAGGUGAACAGUCCUCUGCAGUUUGUCCAUUCCCCAGUGAACCAUGGCCAGGGUGUCCUGCCCAGCUGUGGGAAGUUCAUGUCCCAGCUCCAUGACUCAGUGUCUCUCUGUGAGAGGCAGAUCAUUCCCCCAGGGGCCGAAGUCCUUACUGCCUAUGACUGGUUUGUGAAACAUAAAAGAGAAAAAACAUAAAAGAGAAAGUGCUCUGUGGUUUUCAUGAGUCUUGAUAGAGCAGAUUGGUGUGUGGCUGCUCUUCUGCGGGAUGCCUGGGAAGAGACCAGGUUACUGGGAGGUAGCUGCCCUUACAGAGCAGUGGAUUAACAUGCAAGCCCUGAUGGAAAAAACAAUGUUCCUGCUGUGAGGGGAAAAUCUCACAUCCCUGGGAAAAGGCUGGGAAUACAUCCUCACUGAUGUUGUCUUCCUUCAGAGGCACAAAGGUGCUGUCUUCUCUGUCCUGCAGAUGGGAAGCUGAGGCAGAGAACAAAACUUAAUUGAUUUUUAUCCAUGGCAGAGGAAGUCCUCAGUGGAAAGGAGGUAGGGACCUGCAUCUGAGGUUAAUGCCCUCAGUAUCUCCACUACAGGCUCUCAUGAAGACUUCAGUGGUUUUGGGCAAAAUCACUUGAUCUGGAUCAGGCUCAGGAAGCGUCAUGAUGGAUUUUGAGUAAUAAACGGCAGCAAAAUAGGAAAGGAGAAAGUAAAGCCUGGCCUCUGAGGUCCUGAGCAGAGAGACAUUUGCACACAUCUUUAUCUGUGAAGGUUUCCUCAGUAUUUAGCAGUGAUGUAAACUCUUCCCUCUGAACAGCACCCAAAAUGCCAGCUGGCUCCAGCAGACUGCAGGAAGCACACAAGUGAAGUCUAAUGAAAGCCCAGGCACAGCAUCACAAAAGUGACAGUCACCGCAGUCUCAUGUAGGAUUGUGAGCUGCUGUUUCCUCCCAGAUUAGCAGAAGGCAGUGAGAUUUUGGGGGUUUUCUCCAGUGUUGGGGUGUCACUCUUUAGCUAAGCAUCCCCUCCAACUGACUGCAGCCUGCCUGUGGUUGCAGGGUCGAUCAUACUGUAUGGAUCUUGAGUCAGCCAGAGAAGAAAAUGUCAUUACUUCUUCCUUUAUUUUUUGUUCUUUAUUCCUUUCCGGCUAAUAGAGUUCUCCCCUCCCCAAUUUUUUAAUUCCCACAAGAUUCUGCAGUCCAGAAUACUCUGUCCUUAAAGAUAAAAUGUACAAAUAAGCAGAAAUCAUUAUAUAAGUCAGUGAAUAUUACAGUUAAUCAUCAGGACUGCCUGGCUGGCCUCCCUCUGCACUGCCCAAGAAAGUGCCGAUAAAACUAGAUAGAUAUGUGACUUGAUCCUGGUGCCUGAACACAUUAGUCAAUUUUAAUCUUUUUAUUAUGCAAUAAUUAAGGCAUAAACUCUGCCUUUCGGUCUGAGAGAAAGUUUAUAAUGCUUGGAAGCACAUGGGUAUGAAAAAUAUUUUUUAUUGAUGUCUUUUCAGACUGUGCUUUGACACAAGAUUGUCCAUUAGGGCCCCAGUGCUCCUAGAGGAGGCAUUCCCACCCAGAACCAGCCCUAGGCUCCUGGCAUCUCACAGCUGGGUUUAUGGGAGAACAGGGCUGGCCUGGCUGUAGUGCUCACACAAAACUGGAUCCUCUCUUCCUUUGCACUGUGAGCACAUGGCCCAGUUUUUCCUAGGCAUUUGAGUGCCUCUUCCCUCCCAUUUAAGGGGGAAUGCAAGCAUGCUGAAGGUGGCCUGAGGAUUAGAUAUUCUCCAAAGGUCUUAGGGACCAAGAAUAGGCAUAAUUUUAGGUGAAGUAGUGGGAAAUCUGAGUGGCUUCACGUGCACCCUUGAAGGCUCUGAGCUGGGCAGCAUCCAAGUUUAUCUCAAUUUCUACACUGCUCUAGAACACCAGCCCUCCACCUCUGACAUCUGAGACCCACAGCUCUGGGGCUGUAAAAGGAGAUGACAGUGACACCAGGAUUUCUAUUCACAUCUAUCACAAAACCUGCAGCACAGCCUCCUAUUUAAAUAGCAAACUUCUGCCAAAGCACAAAUGCCUCCUCCUACGAGAGUCAGUGUGCCCUCAGCUUGCACCUGAGUGACUCACAGCCACGGGCACUUGCCACCUCCCAGGAGGUGCUGAGCAGUGGGUAGCAUGACACCAGGAAAACUACGCUGGGGCAACAGAGGUCCGUGGCUGGAGGGUGUUGUAAGAGCUGUGUGCUGGAAAUGUGUAAUAGCACCUGUUUCACAAGGUCUGGCUGGGAUUGAUGCUAUUAAUCCCCUGCUUCCAUGGGUACUAAAUGCACCCACACAAUGAGAAAGUAGCAUCUCACUGAUCAAAGUCAGCUCUGCUACUUUUGCACCCACUUUGCUAUUAUUCACACCUCACAGCUGGAUCAACAUGUGAUGCACUGCAGUCCUUCAUUUUUCUUGCUCUGGACUGCAAGUAUAUUUAAUGUUUACCUGCUUGGAGAAACAACACAUUUUACCCAGUGAUAAAUCUACUUUUUAUUUGUUCAGAAGGCCAGGUUAUAUUACUAAUUCAAAGAUGAUGAAUAGAUUAACUAUUUGGUGGAUCAAAGUACAGCAAUAUAUUUUGGGUGUUUGUUACACUAGGGAGGGUGCAUAACAGGUUAGUCCAUUGAAGAUUUAUUUUAUUUUAACAUUUCUUGAUUUCAAAACAAUAAAAUGCUGCUCAUGGGUAAACUUCGUAAACAAAGGAGACUGCCAAUGGGCCUGACAACGUUUCCUUGGUAACAUUUCUUAGCUUUUACCCCAGUGAUUGAUAUCCAAGGAUAGCCAUUUGCUUUCUGCAGAGAAGCAGGAGAAUAUGGCUCAAUGAUUCUCUUCCUGGCUUCUUAAAGCAGAGAGAAGAGAAGCAAUCCUCUACAGCUGAUGUGGCUUUACUUAUUAUUAAAAAAAAAAAAAAAAUGGAAAAAGGAAAAAGAAAAACCAACCAACCAACCAACCAACCAACCAACCAAAAUAAACCCCAACAAAAAUUACCUAGAAAAAAAAAACCUAGGCAAAUUGCACUUGGAACCUGAUCCAAAAGGACCACUGUACUUGACAGAAAAACUCUGACUUCAAAGGUCUUCAGACCAGAUCUCUGAAGUGUGUUUAAGACUGACCUUAAUCUGAAUACAGAUAUGAAUUUCUCUGCUGUGCUCCUUGCUUUCUUUGAUUAAAAACCUUUUGUGCAAAGUUUCCUUUUUCUGUUUGUGCUUCCAGCCCUACCAUUUGUGGGGAGGGUUCAAAGCCACCUACCCUGAGAAAUGGGCAGCCAUGAGAGGCUGGGUCCUAAUUUGCUUUUACAGUAAGAUAUUCCCAAAUUUAACGCAACAAAGGAAAACUGGAUUUUCAAGCCCAGUCAGAACUUGUCAAAAAGUGGGUUUAGGUGUGUGAGUGAGAUGUAAAACACCAAAAUGGUGCCACUGAUGCAAAGCCCUUUGCAGUCACACAAGUGACACCACUCCUGCAGUGAUUGUGACUGCCAACAAAGAUGCCCGGCUGCCAGAGGUCCAGAGGUACUGCCAGAUUCAGUCAAUGACAACUCCACAUCAAACACCACAGUGAGCAUCGAAUUACUCCUGAAGACACAGGAAACACACUCAUGGCACUCCACUGUGGCUAGGGCUGAGCAGAUGAUGAGAACUUGGGUGACUUUGCAGCUCCUUAACAC